rnacentral:rRNA from 1 species
UACAGAGGGGGCAAGCGUUGUUCGGAAUUACUGGGCGUAAAGGGCGCGUAGGCGGCCUGUUAAGUCGAACGUGAAAUCCCCGGGCUCAACCCGGGAACUGCGUCCGAUACUGGCAGGCUUGAAUUCGGGAGAGGGAUGCGGAAUUCCAGGUGUAGCAGUGAAAUGCGUAGAUAUCAGGAGGAACACCGAUGGCGAAGGCAGGUCUCGUGGGCUGACACUGACGCGCAUGACACGUA